rnacentral:rRNA from 1 species
AGCGAUUCCGGCUACGGAUGGUCAUGCGUCGCAUUAGCUAGUGGGCGGGGUAACGGCCCACCAAGGCGACGAUGCGUAGGGGUUCUGAGAGGAAGGUCCCCCACACUGGUACUGAGACACGGACCAGACUCCUACGGGAGGCAGCAGUGAGGAAUAUUGGUCAAUGGCCGCAGGGCUGAACCAGCCAAGUCGCGUGAGGGAUGACGGUCCUAUGGAUUGUAAACCUCUUUUGUCAGGGAGCAAAGGGCGCCACGUGUGGCGCUUUGCGAGUACCUGAAGAAAAAGCAUCGGCUAACUCCGUGCCAGCAGCCGCGGUAAUACGGAGGAUGCGAGCGUUAUCCGGAUUUAUUGGGUUUAAAGGGUGCGCAGGCGGAAUGUCAAGUCAGCGGUAAAAUUUCGGGGCUCAACCCCGUCGUGCCGUUGAAACUGGCGUUCUUGAGUGAGCGAGAAGUAUGCGGAAUGCGUGGUGUAGCGGUGAAAUGCAUAGAUAUCACGCAGAACUCCGAUUGCGAAGGCAGCAUACCGGCGCUCAACUGACGCUCAUGCACGAAAGCGUGGGUAUCGAACAGGAUUAGAUACCCUGGUAGUCCACGCAGUAAACGAUGAAUACUAACUGUCCGGGCAGAAUGAUGCCUGG